rnacentral:rRNA from 1 species
UCCUACGGGGGGCAGCAGUAGGGAAUAUUGGGCAAUGGAUGCAAGUCUGACCCAGCCAUGCCGCGUGCCGGAUGAAGGCCCUCAGGGUUGUAAACGGCUUUUAUUCGGGAAGAAGAGCAGGGAUGCGUCCUUGUGUGACGGUACCGAAUGAAUAAGCACCGGCUAACUCCGUGCCCGCAGCCGCGGUAAUACGGAGGGUGCGAGCGUUGUCCGGAUUUAUUGGGUUUAAAGGGUGCGUAGGUGGCCUUAUAAGUCAUUGGUGAAAUACGGUUGCUCAACAAUCGAGGUGCCAUUGAUACUGUGAGGCUUGAAAUAAUUGGAGGCUGCCGGAAUGGAUGGUGUAGCGGUGAAAUGCAUAGAUAUCAUCCAGAACACCGAUUGCGAAGGCAGGUGGCUACGAUUGGUUUGACACUGAGGCACGAAAGCAUGGGGAGCAAACAGGAUUAGAUACCCGGGUAGUCA